rnacentral:rRNA from 1 species
CAGCCGCCGCGGUAAUACAGAGGGUGCGAGCGUUAAUCGGAUUUACUGGGCGUAAAGCGUGCGUAGGCGGCUAAUUGAGUCGGAUGUGAAAUCCCUGAGCUUAACUUAGGAAUUGCAUUCGAUACUGGGAAGCUAGAGUAUGGGAGAGGAUGGUAGAAUUCCAGGUGUAGCGGUGAAAUGCGUAGAGAUCUGGAGGAAUACCGAUGGCGAAGGCAGCCAUCUGGCCUAAUACUGACGCUGAGGUACGAAAGCAUGGGGAGCAAACAGGAUUAGAUACCCCGGUAGUCCCUGUCUCUUAUAC